ACGUUCGACACCUACGGGGGCAGCAGUGAGGAAUAUUGGUCAAUGGGCGCUAGCCUGAACCAGCCAAGUAGCGUGAAGGAUGAAGGCUCUAUGGGUCGUAAACUUCUUUUAUAUAAGAAUAAAGUGCAGUAUGUAUACUGUUUUGUAUGUAUUAUAUGAAUAAGGAUCGGCUAACUCCGUGCCAACAGCCGCGGUAAUCUGAGCGGGCUGGCAAGGC
rnacentral:rRNA from 1 species